AGGAAGAGAAAAUUUUAAAUUGUCACAAUUUAUAUCUGACAAUUAGAGAAAUUAAAAAGAUUUGCACUAUUGGAUAAAUCUUUAUAAUCCAACAUUUUUAUGUUGGAUGAUCAAGAGACACGGUAGUGUCUCGCGCCAAGUAUAUGCGCAGCAAGACCGAUCGUGUACUGUUACGCGAAGCGACACUUUUGCAGACACUCAGAUAAUUAGAACUCAAUAACCGCUGAACGGAUCAAGUUCAGAGUAGGCUCAAUGGUUAGCUUGGGGUCGAAUUAUGUAAUAAAAGUGUUUUUAUUUUUCUUCUACGUGCCCUAAGAGCGGAGAUAUUGCAAUGCAAAGUUGGAAAUGACAAUUUUACGAUUAAGAUACUCCGUUUUCUCCGUCAUCGUUAAGUGUUGGCAAGGGGGGUUGCGGAAGGGGAGAAGAAAUGUGCUACAGAACGUUCUUCAUUGGCUUAGAGACUUGGUCAAUCAAGAGGCACGAUAAUGUCUCGCGUCAUGUGUGAAUAUCGCCGUGGCACGAAAAUAAUCAAUAUGCGGACACGUUUUAUUACUGGUGCUGACGGGCAUCAUUUUUAAGGUACGUGCAUCAUUUUUAAACUGUAAAAUAAUUAUCUAUAUUAUCCAUCGUGACAUUUCAAAAGCUUAUGCUAUUUUCUUGCUUUAUCGGAGGUAAGGAUGAUGGUGGAAGAUUGCAUAACGUCAAAGGUGGAUGGAUGCAGAGAUGAAUUGUAAGACACGCAUGAGAUGCUCGAUACUACUGAUCUGUGGAAACGUGUUACUGCUGCUGACGUUAAUAAUUUUUCCUUGUUUCGGCCUACAUAUAAGAAUGGUAACCUGACUGGAGUGAGAAGGAAAGCGAAAGGUUGCAUGAUGUCAAAGUUGGAUGAAUUGUGAGAGAAAUGUAAUGAGAAGCCACGCAGGAGAGGAUCGAUUAAUCAUAAUCUGCAGAUAUUAUUUGUUGUUUUCUUUAUUAUGGUUUUUUUAUAUAUACUAGCACACAGGCGCGCGCUACGUGCGCUAUAAGUAAAAUAA